GUACGCUAUUCAGAGUUUGAUCCUGGCUCAGGACGAACGCUGGCGGCGUGCUUAACACAUGCAAGUCGAACGGGGAUUAGUUGAUUGAGAGCUUCGGCAGGAAAUCGAUUAAUUCGAGUGGCGGACGGGUGAGUAACGCGUGAGCAACCUGUCCCAGACAGGGGGAUAACACUUGGAAACAGGUGCUAAUACCGCAUAAGACCACGGGAUCACAUGGUUCUGGGGUAAAAGGAGCAAUCCGGUUUGGGGUGGGCUCGCGUCCGAUUAGCCAGUUGGCGGGGUAACGGCCCACCAAAGCGACGAUCGGUAGCCGACCUGAGAGGGUGAACGGCCACAUUGGAACUGAGAGACGGUCCAA
rnacentral:rRNA from 1 species